UGGGGAAUAUUGGACAAUGGGCGCAAGCCUGAUCCAGCCAUGCCGCGUGAGUGAUGAAGGCCUUAGGGUUGUAAAGCUCUUUCGGCGGGGACGAUAAUGACGGUACCCGCAGAAGAAGCCCCGGCUAACUUCGUGCCAGCAGCCGCGGUAAUACGAAGGGGGCUAGCGUUGUUCGGAAUCACUGGGCGUAAAGGGCGCGUAGGCGGCUUUGUAAGUCGGGGGUGAAAGCCUGUGGCUCAACCACAGAAUUGCCUUCGAUACUGCAUGGCUUGAGACCGGAAGAGGUAAGUGGAACUGCGAGUGUAGAGGUGAAAUUCGUAGAUAUUCGCAAGAACACCAGUGGCGAAGGCGGCUUACUGGUCCGGUUCUGACGCUGAGGCGCGAAAAGCGUGGGGAGCAAAACAGGAUUAGAUACCCUGGUAGUCCACGCCGUAAAACGAUGAAUGCCAGCCGUUGGGCAGCUUGCUGCUCAGUGGCGCAGCUAACGCUUUUAAAGCAUUCCGCCUGGGGAGUACGGUCGCAAGAUUAAAAACUU
rnacentral:rRNA from 1 species